UCAGAAAGUGUAGUGGUUAGCAUGUCUGCCUCACAACUCCAGGGUUGAGGGUUCGAUUCCCGCCUCCUUCCUGUG